UACGUAGGGUGCGAGCGUUUAAUCGGAAUUACUGGGCGUAAAGUGUGCGCAGGCGGCCGCGCAAGUCGAGUGUGAAAUCCCCGAGCUUAACUUGGGAAUUGCGCUCGAAACUACGUGGCUGGAGUGAGAUAGGGGUGUGUGGAACUUCCGGUGGAGCGGUGAAAUGUGUUGAUAUCGGAAGGAACGCCGGUGGCGAAAGCGACACACUGGGUCUCAACUGACGCUGAGGCACGAAAGCCAGGGGAGCGAACGGG
rnacentral:rRNA from 1 species